rnacentral:lncRNA from 1 species
GUUCCCUGGGAAACAGACUCAGAGAGCUGGGCACGCAGGUGGUUUACUGGGGAGUGCUCUCACGCACAGCACCUGUGAAGGGGGUAGAGUGGUGUGGGGGGCAGUGAUGUGGGGCUGGAAUGCAGGCACACCAGAGGCCUCACCAGAGCUCAGAGGUGGCCUGCCCCUAUGGAGGAGGCAGUCUUAGGCAAGGCGAUUCUCCUUGGCUGAAGGCGAAUCCUGGAGCCUCUGUCCUGAAGGAGAAUCCAGGUGGCAGACUACAAUCUCCACUGAAGUCCACUCCUCUUCACUUCCACCGCCUGGAGCCAACCCAUCACCUCUCAUCUGGAUGCAGCCUUAAGAUCCUCCCCAGAGCUCAGCAUUCAUGCUUGGCCCUUCACCAACAGAGUCCAAUCUGCACCAGGAACCCAAAGCCACAGGAGGUCUCCCAGCACAGAAAUCAGAUCACUUCACUUCACUGCUUGAAACCCUCAAAUGGCCUCCCAGAACAAAACACACUCAGAAUAAAAUCCUGAGUGAUCCCUGCCUCUGCCUAUGACCUCUCCCUUCACUGUGCUUCAGCCCUUUCUCUCUCUCUCUCUUUUAUAACAAUCCAUCAUGACGUUCAAUGUUCUCUUUUUCUUGAGACAGCAGCUGUGUUCCACCGCAGGGCCUUUGCUCUUGUUGUUCCCGCUGCCUGACGUUCUCUUCCCUCAGAUCUUCCCAUGGCUGACUCUACGUCCUUCAAGUUUCAUCUGACACGUCACCUCCUCAGAGGGAUAUUCCCUGGUUAUCCGAUCUAAAGUGGUUC